CCUAGUCAAUAUCCUAUCAAAAAUCAUAGUAGGUUUGUUGUGAUAUCCACAAGACUUGCUAUGAAGAUUGAUGUUAAUUUGUCUUGGUACAUAUUAGAUGCUUUACGGCAUAUUUUGAAUAGGUUGUUUUGUUGUGAUAUCCACAAGGACAGCAUUUUUCAGAUAUAGCUAUAUGAAAAUGAAGAGUUUGACUUAACUACAAAAUACUAUAGUUUGUUGUGAUAUCCA
rnacentral:lncRNA from 1 species